rnacentral:rRNA from 1 species
UACGAAGGGGGCUAGCGUUGCUCGGAAUCACUGGGCGUAAAGCGCACGUAGGCGGAUUGUUAAGUCGGGGGUGAAAUCCUGGAGCUCAACUCCAGAACUGCCUUCGAUACUGGCGAUCUUGAGUCCGGGAGAGGUGAGUGGAACUCCGAGUGUAGAGGUGAAAUUCGUAGAUAUUCGGAAGAACACCAGUGGCGAAGGCGGCUCACUGGCCCGGUACUGACGCUGAGGUGCGAAAGCGUGGGGAGCAACAGGG